rnacentral:rRNA from 1 species
UACGUAGGGUGCAAGCGUUUAAUCGGAAUUACUGGGCGUAAAGCGUGCGCAGGCGGUUAUGUAAGACAGGUGUGAAAUCCCCGGGCUUAACCUGGAACUGCAUUUGUGACUGCAUAGCUAGAGUACGGUAGAGGGGGAUGGAAUUCCGCGUGUAGCAGUGAAAUGCGUAGAUAUGCGGAGGAACACCGAUGGCGAAGGCAAUCCCCUGGACCUGUACCUGGACGCUACAUG